rnacentral:rRNA from 1 species
GGGUUGUGAGGUUAAGCGACUAAGCGUACACGGUGGAUGCCCUGGCAGUCAGAGGCGAUGAAGGACGUGCUAAUCUGCGAUAAGCGUCGGUAAGGUGAUAUGAACCGUUAUAACCGGCGAUUUCCGAAUGGGGAAACCCAGUGUGAUUCGUCACACUAUCAUUAACUGAAUCCAUAGGUUAAUGAGGCGAACCGGGGGAACUGAAACAUCUAAGUACCCCGAGGAAAAGAAAUCAACCGAGAUUCCCCCAGUAGCGGCGAGCGAACGGGGAGCAGCCCAGAGCCUGAAUCAGUGUGUGUGUUAGUGGAAGCGUCUGGAAAGGCGUGCGAUACAGGGUGACAGCCCCGUACACAAAAAUGCACAUGCUGUGAGCUCGAUGAGUAGGGCGGGACACGUGGUAUCCUGUCUGAAUAUGGGGGGACCAUCCUCCAAGGCUAAAUACUCCUGACUGACCGAUAGUGAACCAGUACCGUGAGGGAAAGGCGAAAAGAACCCCGGCGAGGGGAGUGAAAAAGAACCUGAAACCGUGUACGUACAAGCAGUGGGAGCACAGAGCAAUCUGUGUGACUGCGUACCUUUUGUAUAAUGGGUCAGCGACUUAUAUUCUGUAGCAAGGUUAACCGAAUAGGGGAGCCGAAGGGAAACCGAGUCUUAACUGGGCGUUAAGUUGCAGGGUAUAGACCCGAAACCCGGUGAUCUAGCCAUGGGCAGGUUGAAGGUUGGGUAACACUAACUGGAGGACCGAACCGACUAAUGUUGAAAAAUUAGCGGAUGACUUGUGGCUGGGGGUGAAAGGCCAAUCAAACCGGGAGAUAGCUGGUUCUCCCCGAAAGCUAUUUAGGUAGCGCCUCGUGAAUUCAUCUCCGGGGGUAGAGCACUGUUUCGGCAAGGGGGUCAUCCCGACUUACCAACCCGAUGCAAACUGCGAAUACCGGAGAAUGUUAUCACGGGAGACACACGGCGGGUGCUAACGUCCGUCGUGAAGAGGGAAACAACCCAGACCGCCAGCUAAGGUCCCAAAGUCAUGGUUAAGUGGGAAACGAUGUGGGAAGGCCCAGACAGCCAGGAUGUUGGCUUAGAAGCAGCCAUCAUUUAAAGAAAGCGUAAUAGCUCACUGGUCGAGUCGGCCUGCGCGGAAGAUGUAACGGGGCUAAACCAUGCACCGAAGCUGCGGCAGCGACGCUNNNNNNNNNNNNNNNNNNNNNNNNNNAUGCUGGAGGUAUCAGAAGUGCGAAUGCUGACAUAAGUAACGAUAAAGCGGGUGAAAAGCCCGCUCGCCGGAAGACCAAGGGUUCCUGUCCAACGUUAAUCGGGGCAGGGUGAGUCGACCCCUAAGGCGAGGCCGAAAGGCGUAGUCGAUGGGAAACAGGUUAAUAUUCCUGUACUUGGUGUUACUGCGAAGGGGGGACGGAGAAGGCUAUGUUGGCCGGGCGACGGUUGUCCCGGUUUAAGCGUGUAGGCUGGUUUUCCAGGCAAAUCCGGAAAAUCAAGGCUGAGGCGUGAUGACGAGGCACUACGGUGCUGAAGCAACAAAUGCCCUGCUUCCAGGAAAAGCCUCUAAGCAUCAGGUAACAUCAAAUCGUACCCCAAACCGACACAGGUGGUCAGGUAGAGAAUACCAAGGCGCUUGAGAGAACUCGGGUGAAGGAACUAGGCAAAAUGGUGCCGUAACUUCGGGAGAAGGCACGCUGAUAUGUAGGUGAAGUCCCUCGCGGAUGGAGCUGAAAUCAGUCGAAGAUACCAGCUGGCUGCAACUGUUUAUUAAAAACACAGCACUGUGCAAACACGAAAGUGGACGUAUACGGUGUGACGCCUGCCCGGUGCCGGAAGGUUAAUUGAUGGGGUUAGCGCAAGCGAAGCUCUUGAUCGAAGCCCCGGUAAACGGCGGCCGUAACUAUAACGGUCCUAAGGUAGCGAAAUUCCUUGUCGGGUAAGUUCCGACCUGCACGAAUGGCGUAAUGAUGGCCAGGCUGUCUCCACCCGAGACUCAGUGAAAUUGAACUCGCUGUGAAGAUGCAGUGUACCCGCGGCAAGACGGAAAGACCCCGUGAACCUUUACUAUAGCUUGACACUGAACAUUGAGCCUUGAUGUGUAGGAUAGGUGGGAGGCUUUGAAGUGUGGACGCCAGUCUGCAUGGAGCCGACCUUGAAAUACCACCCUUUAAUGUUUGAUGUUCUAACGUUGACCCGUAAUCCGGGUUGCGGACAGUGUCUGGUGGGUAGUUUGACUGGGGCGGUCUCCUCCUAAAGAGUAACGGAGGAGCACGAAGGUUGGCUAAUCCUGGUCGGACAUCAGGAGGUUAGUGCAAUGGCAUAAGCCAGCUUGACUGCGAGCGUGACGGCGCGAGCAGGUGCGAAAGCAGGUCAUAGUGAUCCGGUGGUUCUGAAUGGAAGGGCCAUCGCUCAACGGAUAAAAGGUACUCCGGGGAUAACAGGCUGAUACCGCCCAAGAGUUCAUAUCGACGGCGGUGUUUGGCACCUCGAUGUCGGCUCAUCACAUCCUGGGGCUGAAGUAGGUCCCAAGGGUAUGGCUGUUCGCCAUUUAAAGUGGUACGCGAGCUGGGUUUAGAACGUCGUGAGACAGUUCGGUCCCUAUCUGCCGUGGGCGCUGGAGAACUGAGGGGGGCUGCUCCUAGUACGAGAGGACCGGAGUGGACGCAUCACUGGUGUUCGGGUUGUCAUGCCAAUGGCACUGCCCGGUAGCUAAAUGCGGAAGAGAUAAGUGCUGAAAGCAUCUAAGCACGAAACUUGCCCCGAGAUGAGUUCUCCCUGACUCCUUGAGAGUCCUGAAGGAACGUUGAAGACGACGACGUUGAUAGGCCGGGUGUGUAAGCGCAGCGAUGCGUUGAGCUAACCGGUACUAAUGAACCGUGAGGCUUAACCUUACAACGCCGAAG